rnacentral:rRNA from 1 species
UACGUAGGGAGCGAGCGUUGUCCGGAUUCAUUGGGCGUAAAGAGCUCGUAGGCGGCUUGGUAAGUCGGAUGUGAAACCUCCAGGCUCAACCUGGAGUCGCCAUCCGAUACUGCCAUGGCUAGAGUCCGGUAGGGGCCCACGGAAUUCCUGGUGUAGCGGUGAAAUGCGUAGAUAUCGAGAGGAACACCAGUGGCGAAGGCGAGUCCCUGGACACUUCCUGACACUGAGGCACGAAAGCUAGGGGAGCAAACAGG